rnacentral:rRNA from 1 species
CCGGAAUUAUUGGGCGUAAAGGGCUCGUAGGCGGUUCGUCGCGUCCGGUGUGAAAGCCCAUCGCUUAACGGUGGGUCUGCGCCGGGUACGGGCGGGCUGGAGUGCGGUAGGGGAGACUGGAAUUCCCGGUGUAACGGUGGAAUGUGUAGAUAUCGGGAAGAACACCAAUGGCGAAGGCAGGUCUCUGGGCCGUCACUGACGCUGAGGAGCGAAAGCGUGGGGAGCGAACAGGAUUAGAUACCCUGGUAGUCCACGCCGUAAACGGUGGAUGCUGGAUGUGGGGCCCGUUCCACGGGUUCCGUGUCGGAGCUAACGCGUUAAGCAUCCCGCCUGGGGAGUACGGCCGCAAGGCUAAAACUCAAAGAAAUUGACGGGGGCCCGCACAAGCGGCGGAGCAUGCGGAUUAAUUCGAUGCAACGCGAAGAACCUUACCUGGGCUUGACAUGUUCCCGACAGCCGUAGAGAUAUGGCCUCCCUUCGGGGCGGGUUCACAGGUGGUGCAUGGUCGUCGUCAGCUCGUGUCGUGAGAUGUUGGGUUAAGUCCCGCAACGAGCGCAACCCUCGCCCUGUGUUGCCAGCACGUCAUGGUGGGAACUCACGGGGGACCGCCGGGGUCAACUCGGAGGAAGGUGGGGAUGACGUCAGAUCAUCAUGCCCCUUACGUCCAGGGCUUCACGCAUGCUACAAUGGCCGGUACAGCGGGAUGCGACAUGGCGACAUGGAGCGGAUCCCUGAAAACCGGUCUCAGUUCGGAUUGGAGUCUGCAACCCGACUCCAUGAAGGCGGAGUCGCUAGUAAUCGCGGAUCAGCAACGCCGCGGUGAAUGCGUUCCCGGGCCUUGUACACACCGCCCGUCAAGUCAUGAAAGUGGGCAGCACCCGAAGCCGG